AAGCGCGCGCUUGAUAAGCGUGAGGUCGGAGGUUCAAGUCCUCCCAGGCCCACCAUUUAUGAUUGCUGAUAAGUUUGCUGAUAAGUUUUUUGUGAAUGUUUUGAUGGUCUUUUAUCUUACGAUCUUUCACUUUUAUGUUGCAAUCUUUCAAAAGUAUUUGAACUGUUUUAGGGGCCGUAGCUCAGCUGGGAGAGCACCUGCUUUGCAAGCAGGGGGUCGUCGGUUCGAUCCCGUCCGGCUCCACCAUCUUUGGUUAUCAUCAUCGUUAAAGAACAAUGUUUUGCAAUAGAUCUGUAGAUCUUAAGUCUAUCAUCUAUUGCCUGUUCUAUUGAAAUUGUGAAGAGAAGAUAUAUUCAGACAUUACUGUUUUAUUCAGCUAUUGUUGUUUUGUUGUUGCUUUUAAUGUUUAAGUCUCUCCUUGAAGGAAUGACAAAAAGCUUAAAAACACAACGCUAACUUAAAAACACAACGCUGACAUUGCUUUAGAGCAUUGGCUUUUAAAUUUAGUCAUUGUUUUAACAAUGUGUAAAGCAAUGUAAUGUGUCGCUAGGGUAUGCUCAAAGCCUUAGCUUUAUGAUGA
rnacentral:tRNA from 1 species